UGGGCGGGGCCAGGGGCCAGGGGCGGGUCCCGGAAGGCUAGGUCGAAUUCCGCGGCGAAUUCCAAGCGCUCAAGGUAGGGAAGAGCUUGCAGCGCCUUUGGAGUCGGCCGCCACUGCUCUACGGCAGAAGGACGAGAUUGCCACCUGCAGGCUGGGGAGCAGGGCACGCCUGGGCCGGUCUUCUGAAUCCUCCGCCGACAACCUAGGGCCCGGCGGAGUGAGUUUCCACUUCUGCAAUAAAGGCAAACCGGGGACGGCGCGGCUCGGACCAAUCCCCUUCCCUGCGCGCCCCGGCUGUGUGGUACACUGGAACGCGCUUGGACAGAAGGAAAAGUGCCGUGGGCAAGCGUGACAUCGCUUUGGGGGCUUCGCGCAGCUGUAAUGCAAAGGGUUGAACAGUUGCACAAGCAGGCAUGAAAGGAUUUAGAGCAACCUUCAAGAUACAUACAGUAUAGCACGACAAAGGACAUUGAAUAUAGGUGAGGAAAAGAUAGAAUAAAUACAGGAAAUUGUACAGAACCAAGCUCACAGGAAACAUCCUGACCAGGUGGACCUGUGGAUGACUGCAGGGAGG